rnacentral:lncRNA from 1 species
AAGAUUUUUGUUUUGAGACAAGGUGUCCCGAGCUGCUCAAGGCCUCGCUGUGUUGCUGAGGCUGGCUCUGAACUCACGAUCCUCCUGCCUCAGCCUCCGGAGUCGCUGGGAGACCCUGACUCUAUAUAAAACAAUAAGAGAGGGGCUGGGGAUGUGGCUCAGGGCUAGAGCUCCCAGGUUCAGUCCCCAGUGUACAUGGGAGGGUUAUUGCUUUAUAUUUUUUUAUUGUCAUUGUCGUGGUGUUGGGGUUGCCGGGCACCAGCUUUACCACUGAGCCCCAUCCCCAGGCCCUAAAAUAUUCGUCUUGGUUUUUUGCUGCCUUCUCUGUGCCUCUUCCUCCUUACUCUGUCCCUGAGUCUCGUGUAGAGGGUGCUGGGUCCCUGGGUGUCCCCUUCCUGCACACGUGUGCACCUGGAGGGGCCCCACCAACUCUGCACCUUGGGGAGUGUGUGGCUCCAUCUCUGACCAGGUCUUGGACCUGCUGGGGAACCAGCACCAUCUGCAGCUCCAGGAGCCCAACAUUCUUUGGGUCGGGCUUGGGGCACGCAGGUGGGGACAUGUACAGCUGGGGACGUAAGUGUGGGCAUGAGAGUGGAUGACGGAACAAACAGCUUCCUGUGUGUGCAGGGGCCCCAAAUAAGCAAGCCAGUUUCUCUCUCUCUUUCUGUACCGGGAAUUGAACCCAGGGGCACUUGACCACUGAGCCACAUCCCAGCCCUAUUUUAUUUAGAGGCAGGACCUCACUUUGGCUGAGGUUGGCUUUGAGCUCACCAUCCUCCUGCCUCAGCCUCCUGAGUGCUGGGAUGGCAGGUGCGCACUACAGCGCCAGGCUUUUAUUUUUUAUUUAGAGACAGGGCCUCACUAAAUUGCUGAGGCUGGCCUCAAACUGACUUUCCUCCUGCCUCAGCCUCCUGAGCUGCUGGAUCACAGGCGGUGCCACCACACAUAGCCACUCCCUGUUCCCUGUGCAUGAGGAGCCUCUGGUGGGUCCUCGGCUGGGUGCACACAGUGUGGGGUGUCCUCUGGGACCCCCGUUCCCUGCUGACUUCUGCUCUGUCCCCAGGUGAGCUGCUGCAGUGGCUGGCGGGAAGACACCUCCUUCACGGGCUGCUGCUGGACGGGGACACUGCGCUAGUGCCCGGCCCCGGGGCCCUGCUCCCGGCUUCUCACCGCCGCCGACGGGAAGUGGCCACCAACCCCGCAAGGCGCUGCUGCCGCAGUGGCUGCACCCAACAGGACCUGAGGGCUCUCUGUCCCCACUGAGCCCUCCCUGGGGGUGGUCCCAGGGACAGGCCCAGAGGCACAGAGCACCGUGAUGACCGGGGGCGGGGCAUGGGGGUUGCCUGGGACAGGCGCUCACCACCUCUGCAGGCCACUGUGAGCUGUCCUGUGAAGCCACCUGGGGACACAUCGCAGCCUGGACUUGAGGAUCCCCCGGUUCAUGGAGCUGACACACGGGGGGGCGGGGCAAAUGUCCUCUUUGAGAGGGGUCCCAGACGCUGCCCUCCUUGUCCCCGAUGGGAAAUAAACAAUCC